UCCCUCAUAGCUCAGUCAGUAAAGAAUCUGCCUGCCAUGCAGGAGACACAGGUUCAAUUCCUGGGUUGGGAA
rnacentral:tRNA from 1 species